rnacentral:lncRNA from 12 species
AGGCAAAGCCUGGUGCUUUCUGCUAAAAGGUCUGAAAUAAUUAAAAGUUUUGGUUUCCUUCCAGCAUCACUGAGAUACUGCCACUCUACCUGUAACCAGCAGUACAGACAAAUGAAAAAGGAUGAGCUGGCAAAAGCACCAGGGAAAAGUCCCUGUGUCACUGUCCCCACAGCAAAGAAGCGCCACCAAAAGCCACAGACCUCAAGAGGCUGCCCCUGCUGUGCUUAUCGUUCUGUUGUGCUGCUUAUUGGCUGGAUCAGGCUGGCUCCUGAAACACCUGCUGCAAGGGCUGGGAUGCCAAAUGGGCUCUGUGACUCCAGCAGUUUGGGAUCUGCUGAAAAGAAUUGUCACACUUCACCGAGUGUGCAGCGAGCACAGAAAUCACAAGACCAACAGGUGAACGGCAAGGGCUUCAUAUGUUACACAGGUUCUGAACUGCUCAUUUCCUAAAACACUCCAGUUUGGAUGAGGAUAUUCUUCUAUGUCUCACCUACAAAGAGACUGUGUAGAUCUCAAAGCUCUUGGUAAGAAUGGAAAAUGCAUCCAGAUGGAAAAAGCCUGGACACAUGGAAGUGAAAUGCCAGUUGAUCACAAAAGCCAGGCAUUUUCUUUGGCACUGAUCAUAGACCGAGAUAUAUUCACAAAUAUUUAGUGCACCAUAAAAUUAAGUAUUCAAAAACAGUGCCAGCCUGUAAAGUGUAGUGACUAUCCACAUACCUAGA